GGUUCCAUAGUGUAGUGGUUAGCACAUCUGCUUUACAUGCAGUAAGUCCUGGGUUCGCGCCCUAGGAGGAGCCA
rnacentral:tRNA from 1 species